rnacentral:rRNA from 1 species
AUGAACGCUGGCGGCGUGCCUAAUACCUGCAAGUCGCGCGAACGGACGAGAAGCUUGCUUCUCUGAUGUUAGCGGCGGACGGGUGAGUAACACGUGGAUAACCUACCUAUAAGACUGGGAUAACUUCGGGAAACCGUAGCUAAUACCGGAUAAUAUUUUGAACCGCAUGUUUCAAAAGUGAAAGACGGUCUUGCUGUCACUUAUAGAUGGAUCCGCGCUGCAUUAGCUAGUUGGUAAGGUAACGGCUUACCAAGGCAACGAUGCAUAGCCGACCUGAGAGGGUGAUCGGACACACUGGAACUGAGACACGGUCCAGACUCCUACGGGAGGCAGCAGUAGGGAAUCUUCCGCAAAGGGCGAAAGCCUGACGGAGCAACGCCGCGUGAGUGAUGAAGGUCUUCGGAUCGUAAAACUCUGUUAUUAGGGAAGAACAUAUGUGUAAGUAACUGUGCACAUCUUGACGGUACCUAAUCAGAAAGCCACGGCUAACUACGUG